UGCGGUUUUUUUAUCAUCCGUUAGUGCUGUUUUUAUGUGAUUCAAGUUGUCUGCUAUAUAGUUUCUGCUCCAUCCUCAGGCACGUUCGUAUGUGUGUCUGGAAUAAUAAUGUUGUCUCAGUUAGAGAUAAAGAUAUAGCUUGCAAUUUCACCUUCAUCUGAACUUUCUUUGACAGCCAAUUUCCAACGGUAUCUUGUAUUGAAUGAAUAUAGCUAAUCACUUGAUCUAUAUUAUGUAUGAUAAUACCUUUCUGGUUCCAUCUUCUGCAGAUAUUGGAUGGCCUUCUUAAGUUACCCGAGAAUAGAGAGUGUGCAGACUGCAAAAGCAAGUAGGUAUCCGUUAUCAAUUUAGCUCUUAUUAAUACUUCACCAUGCGUCUUUAUGUAGUAAGGUUGCCAGCAAAAUGGAAAUUUUAAACUAGGUGCCUGAGUUACUGUAAAGGACUUGGACUCCAAUUUAUAAUGGCUUGUUUUCAAUGCAGGGGACCAAGAUGGGCUAGUGUCAGUCUAGGAAUAUUCAUUUGCAUUCAAUGUUCAGGGAUUCACCGAAGUCUUGGAGUGCACAUAUCAAAGGUUUGUUUUUGUUUUUCGUUUCAUUAUAAUUUAUGUUUCUCUUUUCCCUUGAUUCUGAAUAACAGUACAAGUCAUUCAAUGUUCAGAGAUUAUGUUUUUAUCUCCUGCAGGUGAGAUCUGCAACUUUAGAUACAUGGCUUCCGGAACAGGUUUCUUUUAUUCAAUGUAAGGAUGUCUUCGAUUACCAUCCCAAAUGAGAUGAGGUGGUGAUAGUAAUCUGUUUUAUUGUUGUUUUUGCAGUCAUGGGGAAUGAGAAAUCGAACAAUUAGUGGGAAGCAGAGUUGCCUCCUAAUUAUAACAGGGCUGGCAUCGAGAAUUUCAUUUGUGCUAAGUAUAACUUCAUAAAACUAUCCAUCUAAAACUUUUAUUUUGAUUUCUGAUUUUCUUCUAUUGCUGUAUGAAACUAGUUUUAAUACCAAACAUUUUGCUUAAGGAUGCUUAUUUUCUUCAUUAGGUAUAAAGAAAAGAGAUGGAUUCCACGAGAGGGAAAGGCUAGAUCACCAACAAGUGUGAGCGAUC
rnacentral:lncRNA from 1 species